rnacentral:rRNA from 1 species
ACGGGGUGCAGCAGGCGCGAAAACUGGCCAAUGCGCGAAAGCGUGAGCCGGCUAGUCCGAGUGAUAGCCCAUCGGCUAUCUUUUGUUAAGUGUACAAAGCUUGGCGAAUAAUGAGAGGGCAAGACUGGUGCCAGCCGCCGCGGUAAAACCAGCUCUUAGAGUGGUGAUCAUGUUUAUUUGGCUUAAAGUGUGCGUAGCAGGACAGCGUAAGUCCCCUGUGAAAUGCUGAGUCUUAAGCUCAGCGCGUGCCGGGGAUACUGUGCGUCUUGGGACCGGGAUAGGUGUAAUGUACGCGUUGGGUAGGGGUGAACUCCGAUAAUCCAACGCGGACAACCGGUGGCGAAGGCGUUACACUGGAACGGGUCCGACUGUGAGGCACGAAAGCUAGGGUCGCGAGCCGGAUUAGAUACCCGGGUAGUCCUAUGCUGUAAACGAUGCUCACUAAGUGUUCGGUAAUGCAAGACAUUCUCUAGUGCCGAAGCGAAAGCGUUAAGUGAGCCGCCUGGGAAGUACGUUCGCAAGAA